GCUUAAAAAAAGCACAAGACUCACCUAGUGUGUUUUUGCAUUGGAAUACAGAGUGAGUAAAGAAAGCAGCGCACUGAGCAGCACUGCACACUCACAGUGUGAGCUAUGGAUACUACAUCUCGUCUGGCCAACUGGUGGAGCAGCGAGUCAUAUGGAGCAUGGAAAAAAAAACUCCUACUCCAAUCCUGACUCUGUGCUUGCCGGGCUGCCGAACCAGUUUGUGGCGCUUCCUCGAUCGGGAUCUGGAGCGGCUCCUGGAGCGAGAGCUGGAGCGGGAUCUAGACCGGGACCUGGUGCGGCUCCGAGACCUCGAGGCUGAUUUUGGCGAUCUGGACAUCACUGCAGCCAACCCUCAGACUGUUGCACAAGAGUAAUACAACCGAGUUAGGAUUCAAUCAAAUCUAAAUUUGGAAAACAAUACUUGUCUUUUUUAGUAACCUUUUCAAGCCAAUGGUUUUCGAAGAAUGGAUAUUUAUCCUCUGAGUUAACAAUUGUAUGAACAAUUAAAAACAUUUAAACAAA